UCCAAAUACCAACACACUGGAAAUUAUAUUUCAGUGGAUGAAUCUUGGGGGGAGAUACAAAUAUUUAGUCUAUGAUACAAUUUAAUAUAAUUGUGCAAUUGUAUAAUUGCUUGUAUAGUAAUACAAACAAUUACACAAUUUAAUAUAAAUGUUAUUUAUGCUUGAGCUGCUAAUGAAAAACAUUUGCUAAGAAAAUAAAUUUGGUGGACUGGAUUAGUUCAGAGUAGUGCUCCCAAUCUUUGCCAUAUCAUGGUACAUAUAGAAAAUAAAGUGUUUAUGUAAUAGCCAGCCAGUGACUCAUCUCUAGGUCUAAAGGUUUCGAUUUCUAGGUCCACACAUCACCUGCAUGCUGUACCAUUUGGAAAACUGCUUUAAGGGUAAUGUUUAACCCACUCAAGAGAGUGGCUAGACCUAUGUGAAUGGUUCCUAAGGACUAAAGAAAACUAAGACAAGGAGGAGGGAAAUGGUGGUAAAGAUCCAGCUGUCAAUUCUUCUUAUCAGAUUUCUUAGCCCUACAAUGACUGUUGUGUGGCAAUUUUAGAAGAAAUGACAAAAGCUUUAAUAAAACAUAAGGUGAGAACGUUAGCAGAGGAAGAUGGAUUUGCCUUCAGAAAGUGAGCCUCCUUGAGUUGUGAAGUCCAUGUGAGGCUAUGUCCUACUGGCUAAUUCCUCAGAGAAAACUAGCCUAGCAGUGAGGUGACAGGCACAGUUCUUCUGAGGAAGAAAGGAAGCUUCAAGAUUCCAAAGUUAGAAAAAGAAAGUCCACCUUUACCAACAGUUUGAAACAAACUAAAAACCUUUCAUGGUGUCAAAGGUGCCCAGACCCCACAGGGGCUAAACUUCUGGAGCUCUUUUCUCCUCCACUGUUCAGAUGAACACAUUUAUUGUACUGGUGUUUCUUGCAAUCAGCCAAGAUUGAGUCAGAUGCCAAGAUAAUUUUUUUUCUUGCCAAAUUGCUUUUUCCAUUGUAAUUAGCCUUUUUAAGAACCUUACUGAGCAAGAAAUGUGUCUCCAAUUCCCACUCUCCCCCUUCAAUUAAAACUCAGCUAAGAAGUUUUAUCAGAAAUAACUGUUGAAGAUGAAAAUCCUACCCUCACCCACUUUAUCAUCAGUUUCUCCAUGUUUUCUUUGAUAUCCUUUAAAGCAGGUAUAGGAUUAAGGAAGGUUUAAUUUUUUCAUAGUUUGUAUUAUAUAAUAUGAAAAUAAAUCAUCUAAACUAAAAAUGAUUUAGCUGUCCGGGUUGCCCUUGUUCAGAUCCUUUAUACAAACUAGAAACUUGGACUAUUUGUCCUCUAAAAGUGGUUUCAAGUGGAUUCUGCCACUGCUCUUGGAAACCAACUUCACCCCCCCCCCCAACAUUUUCCAGUCUCCCUUGUGGUUAGAGGGGCCAUAUGACUAAUUUCUGGACAACAGAAGGUACACAAACGUGCCAGGCCCAUGAAAAACCUCCCAUGAGAGAGCCUCCAGGUUCUUUCCUUCUCUGCCUGCUAAAGAUGUCGGUGCCCAGAAAACCAGGGCAGCCUUGAGCUGAAAAUGGUAGUGCCUCCAAUCAGUCUGGUUCCUGAAGGAAGAGACCACCCAUCUUCCAUCACUGCCUCCCAUACUCUAGAACUGCCUUCAGUUGUUCACUGAAAAAGCAAAACAAACAAACAAACAAACAAAAAAAACCUGCCAUUAUAUUUGCGCCAUUUUCAUUUGGGGGUUUGUUUAGCUUACCCUACCUGACUUGACUUGACCCAGAUACCUUUCCUCCUCAACCACAUUAGAUGGUCUAGCCAAACCUUCCCAUGGCACCUGAUCAUUGAACUUCUCAUCCUGUACCCUCAUUGUUUAUCUGUCUGCCUCCCCAGAUACCCUCCAAACUCUACGGGGGCAUGAACAACAUUUCCCUCUCUCAUUAU